GAUGAACGCUGACAGAAUGCUUAACACAUGCAAGUCGAUUCGAUUUACCUUCGGGUAUUGAGGAUGGCGGACGGGUGAGUAACGCGUAAGGAACUUGCCUCUUGGUCUGGGACAACUGUUGGAAACGACAGCUAAUACCGGAUAUUAUGAGAUUCUCGCAUGGGAAACUUAUGAAAGCUAUAUGCGCCAAGAGAGAGCCUUGCGUUCCAUUAGCUAGUUGGUGGGGUAACGGCCCACCAAGGCGACGAUGGAUAGCCGGCCUGAGAGGGUGAACGGCCACAAGGGGACUGAGACACGGCCCUUACUCCUACGGGAGGCAGCAGUGGGGAAUAUUGGACAAUGGGCCACAAGCCUGAUCCAGCAAUUCUGUGUGCACGAUGAAGGUCUUCGGAUUGUAAAGUGCUUUCAGUUGGGAAGAAGAAAGUGACGGUACCAACAGAAGAAGCGACGGCUAAAUACGUGCCAGCAGCCGCGGUAAUACGUAUGUCGCAAGCGUUAUCCGGAUUUAUUGGGCGUAAAGCGCGUCUAGGCGGAAAAAUAANUCUGAUGUUAAAAUGCGGGGCUCAACUCCGUAUUGCGUUGGAAACUGUUUUUCUAGAGUACUGGAGANGUGGGCGGAACUACAAGUGUAGAGGUGAAAUUCGUA
rnacentral:rRNA from 1 species